CCUGGGACUCUCUCUUCAUCUGGAGGGAGUCCCUGUCUCCCUGGACAUGGCUUAAGCCUUUGAAGACAAAAGUCAAAAAGCAGUGCCUUGGACCACGUGUGGGGGAGCCUGAGCCAGGACUGGAGUGGACCUGGAGGGGACACUGUGCUGACCAACGCAGGCCCUGGUGCAGGCAUACUGCAGCACGUGCACUCUGGCCUGAGAGUCGAGCUGACUUUCCAGCCCGGCUCAGCAGUGGUGACGCCCAUCAAGGUCAUCUCCCCGGCAGCAGCACACACAGGGGAUGUGGAGGAGAAGGAGUCAGCUGUGCGUCCUCGGGCAGAGUGCCUGGCCUCUCUGAGCCCCUGUUUCCUGAUCUGUAAUAGCGAGAUCGGAAAAGCCCUCUCCCGCUUCUCGUGGGUUGGGCAUCAGUCUUGGCAAAAGCUGGAAGGUACUGUCCCGCCAAGCAGGGAGGCGGGCAUCCAGGGGAGGCCAGCCCGCCUGUGCCCGUCACUGGAGUACCUGCCCUCAAGCUCCUGAAGCCACGACUGCAAGCUCAGAGCACACCCCUCAAGGAUACCAGCCUGUCUGGAAAAGAACAUUCCUCCGAGUCCAUGGAAAGACAGUCAUUCCCGUGGUGCCCCGGGUGAGGGCGUGGUGGUGCCCCCAGUCAUCCCAGUGCUACCCUGACUCCAGAGUGGUCCAUGGAGUCUGUUUCCAUGGAGACCAGGGAAGGAGACAGCAAUUCUGGGAGGAAAGGAACCCUGGACCUGGAGCAGACACGCCAGGAAUCUACACGUGUUUUCUGAGAUCACAGACAAGACCC